ensembl:lncRNA
CCACUGCCCUCUCUAGAUACAUCUGUCAUUAACAGUUUAUGGUCUAUCUUUCCAGAUCAUUUUCUGUGUGUUUAUGUACAUAUAUAUGUGAGGGUACAAAAGUAUAAGUUUUGCUUUUACUUUUAGUGAAAGUGACUUUAUGGUAUAAUCUUCUUUUACUUAACGAUACGAUUUGUAAAUCAUUCCAUAUAGAUCAACUUCACUUUUAAAAAUUGAUGUGUGGAAAUCCAUCGUAUGGAUGAACCAUGAGUUAUUCAACCACUUUCAUGAUGUACUCUUAGAUGGUUUUAUAACUCCUUACUCUUACAAAUAGUGCCACAGACAACAUCCACCUCUACAUCUCCUUGUACAGGAUUUCAAACCUUACAAACAUGGAUGCUUUACAAGAAUCUACUAUGGAAAUUGACGACAUUCCAUAUCUGCUCUUUGGCUACCUGUAAACAUGAAAAGUAAUGCUGUCACUGGUCCCCAUUUCCAGAUGCUAAGCCUCUGCUUUAAUUUGGGUCAUUAUGCUUCUUUUUCACUACUCAACUAGUUCCGCUGAAAUAACACAAUCUUCAACUUGUUUUUCUCUCUAUUGAAAAAGUACCACAGAAUCAAUAGAAUAAGGCAAAUCCAAAGUAUUGAUCAACAUAUGAGCAUAUUUUUAGUAUCGUUAUUUCAGAGAAUAAAGUUGAAACUCACAGUUCUUCAUCUGAAUAACUGUAGGAGGGCAGCGUUUUUCUUGUCAGUGGAGUCCUGGCCCUGGUUCUCUCAGUGGUGGUUACGCACAGCAGCAGCAUGCUUAGAUUACCAUCGUCAAGAUGAGGACUUGAAUUGCUCCCUUCCAUCUGUACAGGGCGCCUCAAUGGAGCACUGGCUUCUUGUUCAGAACACAGUGACCAGUUCUCUUGUCACUUGUUUGUUGCUACCCAGUUUAGUGGUUCACCACUGUGGUUACUCCAUGCUCCCUUCUCUGCUUCCAUCGCUUCUACCACUAGCAUCUACAUCAUAUUCUCUCUCUCAUCCAAACCACUUUCCAGCAGAGUGCAUAUUCAGUACUUCCAUCAGGCAGAGUUCCCGUGCCAGGCUGUCUCAUUGAUCACGGGAGAGAUGAGCUCCUUUGGGUCAGGUGCUCAUCCCUAGUCCUAUCAGCUGUGUCCAGGGGAGCAUGACCACGUGAUAUAAGCUUAGAACUCAGGGAAUUUCAAAGAGGGGGCCGUGAUGGAUAUUCAGUGACAUCUCAGAAGGGGACAGAGUAACUGGCAGGCCCUUUGCAUGCCAAUCUGGCGUAUCUGGAAAGGGCAUCCUGCUAAAACUUUUGUUGGGAAACUCCUUGUCAGUAUUUUCAGGCUGCAGGAGCAACAGAGGGAAUCACUGAAAUUACAUCUGAUUAUAAUGUGUUUCUCAGGGAAAUAAAUAGCCCAAACUGAAGCACACUUCCGGUUGUCAAUUUUUCACAAGCAUCCUGGAACUCAGUGACAGUUCUUGAAGAUUGAUAUAGACCUCUGACAGUGAAUUGAUUGUUCCAGCAGAGAUCUUUAAUGAGAUUGUGCACACUAUUAAGGAACCACCAUCUCCAGCAUAUUACAAUGACAAUGGCGAGAUCUUGUGAAUACGGAAAGCAAGGCAACUUUCCUGCUCAUUUCUUUUUAAAAGCACCAACCCCUAGCAGCAAGGCCUUCUUGUUAAUUAGUUGUUAAUUAUUGGGACAGCUCGUGAAAUGUUUGUUAAAGAGCUGGCCCACUAGCAAAGAAAAGAACCCAGAGAAAAAGACUGAAUUGAAGAGUAAUAAAAGGAAUGAGCUAGUUUUUACACAGUUGACUGGCACCAAGGAAAUUCUAGCAACUUACUCUUCUGGUACAAGAUGACAGACUGAGAAACACAUGUAACAGAGCAUAAAUGAACUGCCCAAGGUCACCUUUCUAGUUGGUGUCCCAAGAAAUCAAUUUAGCCCAGAGAUCUCAUCACCACCAGGCCCUGUUGAAAACCAAGCGUUACGCUCAUUCCUCUUUCAAGUUUUACUAUCUGGACUCAGUGGUUCUCAAACUUCAGCCUGAAUAAAGAUCACCUGGAGGCCUCCUUCCCAGAGAUUCUGAUUCAUUAGGUCUGAGGUAGGGCCCAGGAAUCUGCAUUUUUAAGAAAUGCUGUAUGAGUUCUCUUGCAAGCAUCCUAGGACCACACUUGAGGAACUCUGAUCUACACAUUUUCUCACUAGCUCCCUCGGAGAGAUGCAUGUCCUCAUCUCUCCAAAUUACGGGCUUUAUUUCUCCGUUUUGGUGAUCCACUUGCAGAGCAGCUUGACUGAUGCCUCUCCUCACCCAACCUGACUCCUGAGAUUCUUCUCCUCUCACCUUGCCUCUGGCAGGGAAGAUGGAGGGAACCGGGGAAAGAGCGGACCCCCAUCAGAUCUGUCUACCAGUGCAAUCUCUCCAUUGCAUUGCCUGUGAACAUUCUUUGAAUGGAUCUGGAAAAAGCCCAGGUCAUCUGGGGCCAGUUCUGGAGAACUGGGUUUAUGAUCAAGUGAGGAAUUACAGUUUAGAAUCAAAAG